rnacentral:rRNA from 1 species
UACGGAGGGUGCAAGCGUUAUCCGGAUUCACUGGGUUUAAAGGGUGCGUAGGCGGACAGGUAAGUCAGUGGUGAAAUCCUUGAGCUUAACUCGAGAACUGCCAUUGAUACUAUCUGUCUUGAAUAUUGUGGAGGUAAGCGGAAUAUGUCAUGUAGCGGUGAAAUGCGUAGAUAUCGGAAGGAACACCAGUGGCGAAAGCGGCUUCCUGGUCCAGCACCGACGGUCAGGCACGAAAGCGUGGGGAGCAAACAGG